rnacentral:tRNA from 2 species
GCGCUCGUAGCUCAGUUGGACAGAGCGUUGGCCUCCGGAGCCAAAGGUCGCAGGUUCAAAUCCUGUCGAGCGCGCCA